CAUCCUCAGGCCGCCACCAGGACAUCAAUAGACCCUCCCCGUGCUCACGUUCUCUAUCGAUCAACCGGGUCUCCCCAUCCCCAUGCCGCUACCAGGUCAUCAACAGACCCUCCCCAUCCUCACGCCGCCACCACGUCGAUGCCCUAGAUCCUUCUGCUUGAUCUAGCUAGAGCCUCUCCUCCCCUGCAUAGAUGCACCACCAUGACAUCCGCCCGCAGCUAGCUGGAUUCGUUCCUCCACUCCAUGGCUGCAUCGCCAUGGGAUACUGGCGGUGAACCCUGGAGCCCCUCCUCCCCUGGAUCUACACCGGCAUGGGAUUUUUACGCUGGGCUUUCGUUUCUCCUCCUUGCUCUGUCAACCCCCUCUCUGUUCUUCCAUGGCAUCUUGCAAUAGUCUUAUAACUUGAAAUUAAUUAGGUCUAUGAAGUUUGCCCGCCCAUGUGUGUUGGCCGCAGACUGCUCGGUAGUUAGAGAUAUUGAUGUUUACUAGGAAUAACGUAAGCUGCAUAUAACUUGCAGUAUACCUACCCAUGCCAGUCUUUUUUCUUUGUAUUUUUUUUGUGUAUUCAGGUGAUGUGUUAUCACUUCCUAUGCACAGUCUCCUCUUCCUAUGCAGUGUCCUCUUCUGAAGCUGAAUGAUUUAGGCCAAUAAUACUUACGCAAUUAUGGGUGUGCAGGUUGAAGUUAAUUAGGGUUCUGAAAUUCUUUGUGGAAAUCAUGGGCAAGCGGAAUUCAGAAAGCCUGGAGAUGGAGCAAGAAGAUCAAUUUCGUUCUCAGUGAUUGUCAUCAACUCAAACAUAGAGGUGGGGAGGAUUGCACUGCCUCCAUGAGGGGCACGAUGCCUCACUCAUUUUUAUUCGCCUAAAGUACGUGGACAGGUCGCUGAAGGAGGAGAAAAGCUAGAGUGCCGUGCACAAGCGAGCAGUUUGGCACCGAUGGUCCGGCGGUCUGCCUGGGUUGUUCCACAUUCAAGUUGUGGUUUUGGCACGUCCCCGAUGACACUCCCCUGCACUACGUGCUGACUGGCUGCACCCUGCGCCUCGGCGACGAUCAGAUGAUGCUGAGUCCAAGUCCAACAUAGGCAAGACGUUCUGUUGGCAGCAGUGCAGCAAUAUCCUUCCAGUAUGAGACACUGAAGAGGAUGAACAAACCGAGGAGAUCUCUAAGCUGCCAGUCCUGCCACCUAUAUCAUGCUGCUACUUAUUUUUCUUCUCAUGAUGUUUUAUUUGUAUUCCUGCCAACUCUCUUUGGUCAGCCUAUAACUUCAUUGAGGCCAAACAAUGCAAAAACGACAUUAGCAUAGAGAAGUUGCGUUUCUUCAGGACACCAAAUGGGGGCGUCACUUUGAUAGGAACCUGGAGCCUGUUGUUGAUCAAUAUUUUCAUCGUCGAUCUCAGUGGCUGUAAAGCAAUAGAAAGAGAUGGAAGGAGAAUUAUAAAUGAAGUCAGAAUUUCCAUUUCUUUUUCUCUCCUUCUAUGGGAUAUAGUAGAUGAUAUUUUCCAUUUUUGUUCAGGUUUCGGAGAUAUGUAUUCAGAAAAAAUGUGUACAGUCUCAUAUAUUAAAGGAGCAAAAAGAGAUGUAGACGAUAUUGACAAUACAAAUAUUUUGUAGCUAGGAUAAGAAGUCGCCCAAACAUAUAUAUUAGUGGAGCAAAAAAAAG